GCCCAGACUCCUACGGGAGGCAGCAGUGGGGAAUAUUGCGCAAUGGGGGGAACCCUGAUGCAGCGACGCCGCGUGGGUGAAGGAGCACCUCGGUGCGUAAAGCCCUCUCGGCAGGGAAGAAAAGCGAACAGGUUCGCCUGGACGGUACCUGACUAAGAAGCCCCGGCUAACUACGUGCCAGCAGCCGCGGUAAUACGUAGGGGGCAAGCGUUAUCCGGAUUUACUGGGUGUAAAGGGAGCGCAGACGGCAGUGCAAGUCUGGAGUGAAAGCCCGGGGCCCAACCCCGGAACUGCCCUGGAAACUGUGCGGCUAGAGUACUGGAGGGGCAGGCGGAAUUCCUAGUGUAGCGGUGAAAUGCGUAGAUAUUAGGAGGAACACCAGUGGCGAAGGCGGCCUGCUGGACAGUAACCGACGUUGAGGCUCGAAAGCGUGGGGAGCAAACAGGAUUAGAUACCCGCGUA
rnacentral:rRNA from 1 species